rnacentral:rRNA from 1 species
GACGAACGCUGGCGGCGUGCUUAACACAUGCAAGUCGAACGGAAAGGCCCUGCUUUUGUGGGGUGCUCGAGUGGCGCGCGGGGGAGUAACACGUGAGUAACCUGCCCUUGACUUUGGGAUAACUUCAGGGGACUGGGGCUCAUACCGGGUAUAAGCUCCUGCUGCAUGGUGGGUGUUGUAGAGAUUCGGCGGUUGGGGAUGGACUCGCGGCUUAUCAGCUUGUUGGUGGGGUGGUGGCUUACCAAGGCUUUGACGGGUAGCCGGCCUGAGAGGGUGACCGGCCACAAUGGGCCUGAGAUACGGCCCAGACUGCUACGGGAGGCAGCAGUGGGGAAUAGUGCACAAUGGGCGGAAGCAGGAUGCAGCAACGCCGGGUGCGGGAUGACGGCUUUCGGGGUGUAAACCGCUUUCGACUGUGACGAAGCGUGAGUGACGGUAAUGGGUAAAGAAGCACCGGCUAACUACGUG